AUUGAAAUAACUCUCGUUCAACCCGUCCAUAACAUACAUGUACCAUUAGUGGAAAAUAACUGUUGUAUUAACCACAUUGAACCUGAAUAUGAACCUGUACCUGAAUAUUCAGAGGAAGUUGUGAUUGUGGAAAUGACAGAAGAUGAUCAAACUAUUUUUACCCUUAAAGAAGAUAUAUUCAAUUUAACAGACACAUUAGUCUCAAGAGAGAAACUAAUUUGAAAAUUAUUUAAAUAAAAUGGAAGAAACUAAGAAGAAUCUAAAAUCUGAACUCGAUCAAACUAAAUCAGAACUAUUAAACCAGAAAAAUAAAGAAAAUCAGAAGAGUGAGAGGGAAGAAAGAAGAAAAGACAGGAAGAGGAGUUACCAGGAACCGACAAGAAGGAUACGAAGUGUGGUUGUGGUGCCCAAAAGAAGAUGUGAACAUUUUUAAUU
rnacentral:lncRNA from 1 species